AUGGCCUCCCCCUCGGAUGCCAACUCUGCCACCAGCGGAGGCGCUUCGGCGGCCGCAACCCCCAUCCUGGAAGACUUCUUUGAUCAGCUAGAUCUGAACGACGAGGAGUUCAAUGAUGUUGAGAUUGAUGAGGAGGAUCCAGAAAUCAAGGAGAGUGUUAGGUGGCUAGCCCUAGCUAGGCUUCACACCGAUAAGAAUUUCUCGCAGGCAGCCUUCUACAAGGAUAUGAGGGCGGCCUGGAAUCCGGCGCAACGGGUGAGAUUUCGCCUAGUUGGACCCAACAGAUUCGUUGUCCAAGCUUCUUGCCUGGGCGAUUGGGAGCGGAUGAUGCUGCAGGGCCCUUGGCUCUUCCGCAACAUGGCAGUGUUGAUGUGUUCGUACGAUGGUUUCACCAAGGCGGAUGAUGUGAUUUUUGAUCAUAUGCCUAUCUGGCUACAAGUCCACAAACUGCCUGAUCCCUACUGCAAACAAGGUAUUGUGGAGCGACUCCUUAAAGGGGCUGGAGAAAUCCUGGAGAUGAGGUUGAACGGCAAUACCCGUGGGGACUAUAUUAGGGUUAGGGUAAACCAUGACAUCAAGCAGCCUCUGACAAAGUUUGUUAGCAUCGUUCGAGCGCAGGAGAGACAGGUUUAUUUGGUGCGGUAUGAGAAGUUGGCUCGUUUUUGCAGUUUCUGUGGUAGGAUUGGUCAUGAGCACAAGGAGUGCGGAUACGGGGUUCAUGAUAAGCAAAGUCUCAAGUUUGGCGACUGGCUAUACGCUGACGGCCCUACUAGGCCGAGGCCUGAGCAAACCCCCAGCAGGGGAGACAAAUCUCGCCCGACAAAGAAUGGCAGCCCUAGUGCACCUUUGGACCCUGGCCUCAAGGCUAUGGAUCCCGAGACGCUUGACACAGCAACAAGCCCCGUGAAGAACCCGGGGACAGUCAUCGAUGUUGAUAGGGAUGCGAGGAAAAGAUUGAAUAUGGAUAGUGCUGGAGAUGAAACUCUGAUCAAACCAAAAAGCAUGAAUGAGAUGCUGGCCAUUACGGAUGGCAGCGGUCAAGAUUUAGGAGAGAAUGCCUCGCCAACGAGCAGCUCUUCUAGCAGUAAACGUGCAAAGCUAACCAAGGAUCUUGCGUCCACUUAG
rnacentral:rRNA from 1 species